CUCUGCAGAAUAAAAAUGAAGUAUCCGAGGACCUGCUUGGAGGGAAUGGCAAAAACCAAGUGGAGCAGAGUCCUCAGUCCCUGGUCAUCCUGCAGGGAAAGAACUGCACUCUUCAAUGCAAUUAUACAGUGACUCCCUUCAACAACUUAAGGUGGUAUAAGCAAGAUGCUGCGAAAGGUCCUGUUACCCUGAUAAUCAUGACUUUCAGUGAGAACACAAAGUCAAAUGGAAGGUACACAGCAACUCUGGAUGCAAACACCAAGCAAAGCUCUCUGCACAUCACAGCCUCCCAGCUCAGUGAUUCAGCCUCCUACAUCUCUGGGACUACA